GAUGAACGCUGGCGGCGUGCCUAAUACAUGCAAGUAGAACGCUGAAGGAGGAGCUUGGUCUUCUGGAUGAGUUGCGAACGGGUGAGUAACGCGUAGGUAACCUGCCUGGUAGCGGGGGAUAACUAUUGGAAACGAUAGCUAAUACCGCAUGACAACAGUUAUUGCAUGAUAACUGUUUAAAAGGGGCAACUUCUCCACUACCAGAUGGACCUGCGUUGGAUUAGCUAGUUGGUGAGGUAAAGGCUCACCAAGGCGACGAUACAUAGCCGACCUGGGAGGGUGAUUGGCCAAACUGGGACAGAGACCAGGGCCAGAAUCCCACGGGAAGGAGCCAGAGGGAAACUUCGGCCAUGGGCGGAAGUCCGAACGGGCAAAGCCGGGGGAGUGGAGAAGGUUCUCGGGUCGGAAAGCUCCGUUGUAAGAGAAAAACGAGUGUGAGAGUGGAAAGUUCACACUGUGACGGUAUCUAACCAGAAAGGGACGGCUAACUACGUG
rnacentral:rRNA from 1 species